rnacentral:tRNA from 1 species
GCCCACGUCGCAUAACGGUAUUGCACAAGACUGGAACUCUUGGCCCCUCGGGGCGCCCAGGUUCGACUCCUGGCGUGGGCG